rnacentral:rRNA from 1 species
GACGAACGCUGGCGGCGUGCCUAAUACAUGCAAGUCGAGCGGAGCGGCGGACGGGUGAGUAAUGCCUAGGAAUCUGCCUGGAAGUGGGGGAUAACGUCAGGAAACGGGCGCUAAUACCGCAUACUAUCAGAUGAGGCUAGGCCGGAAUAGGUAGUUGGGGGAGUAAAGGACUACCAAGGCGACGAUCCGUAACUGGUCUGAGAGGAUGAUCAGUCACACUGGAACUGAGACACGGUCCAGACUCCUACGGGAGGCAGCAGUGGGGAAUAUUGGACAAUGGGCGGAAGCCUGAUCCAGCCAUGCCGCGUGUGUGAAGAAGGUCUUCGGAUUGUAAAGCACUUUAAGUUGGGAGGCGUUACCAACAGAAUAAGCACCUGCUAACUUCGUGCCAGCAGCCGCGGUAAUAC